rnacentral:tRNA from 2 species
UGGGGUGUAGCCAAGCGGUAAGGCAGCGGUUUUUGGUACCGUGUACCGGAGGUUCGAAUCCUCCCACCCCAGCCA